rnacentral:rRNA from 1 species
UACAGAGGUCUCAAGCGUUGUUCGGAUUCAUUGGGCGUAAAGGGUGCGUAGGUGGCGCCAUAAGUCAGGUGUGAAAUCUCGGGGCUUAACUCCGGAACUGCAUUUGAUACUGUGGUGCUUGAGGACUGGAGAGGAGACUGGAAUUCACGGUGUAGCAGUGAAAUGCGUAGAUAUCGUGAGGAAGACCAGUGGCGAAGGCGGGUCUCUGGACAGAUCCUGACACUGAGGCACGAAGGCCAGGGGAGCAAACAGG